GCUGGGCGUGGUGGCGCAUGCCUGUAGUCCCAGCUACUCAGGAGGCUGAGUUGAGAGGAUUGUUUGAGCCCAGGAGUUCUGGGCUGUAAUGCGCUAUGCCAAUCGGGUGUCAGCACUAAGUUCGGCAUCAAUAUGGUGACCUCCCGGGAGUGGGGGACCACCAGGUUGCUUAAGGAGGGGUGAACUGGCCCCAAUCAGAAACGGAGCAGGUCAAAACUCCCCUGCUGAUCAGCAUCCUUAUUUUUUUCUAUACAGCUAUGGAGAGUGAGAGAUUCCUACUGCA
rnacentral:SRP_RNA from 1 species